UUUCCUGAUCAAAGAGGCCAGAAGCUGCUAGUACUACACCUUCCACUUCUUUUGGUCUUGACCAUUGUUGUGAUGCCUGAAUCUACAACAGUCACCCAGCAACUUUGAGAUAAUACACCAAUGUACUAAAAUGGUAGAGUAGAAUUAUAGAAGAAACCUUCGUUUUUAUCAUAUCAUGGAGCCCCACAUUAUACAGAACUGCCUCCCUCUAGCAUUGUAUAUGAAAAGCAAAUCCCUAUGUAGUGGUCUUAGGACAUGGCUACAAAUUCUUUGACACUUCUCCCAUUAAAAGAUCCUUCUCCUGAAUACAGGCCAGACUUAGUGAGUUGCUUCCAGCAAAUAGAAUGCAGUGGGAGGGAUACUGCAUGAUUCUCAGGUUAGGUCAUAAAAGGUGAUACAGUUUCUGCCUUAUUAUUCCUCUUCUCAUGUGCGACUUGGGAGCCAUGAGCUGACAUAUCAGAAGUCAGUCUACACCAAAGCUGCCAUGCUGGAGAAACCAUGAUGAACAAACAUGUGAGUGAACCAGUCUGCAGAUGAUUCCAGCCCUCAGAGUUCAAGCUGCCCUAGCUGAUGUCAACGAGAAGAGACAAGCUUCCCUCCACCAAGUCCUUCCCAAACUACAGAUUCAGGAGGAAAAUAAAUGUUAUUUUUAAGUCACUAA